rnacentral:rRNA from 1 species
AAUCAACGCUGGCGGCGUGCCUCAGACAUGCAAGUCGAACGAGAAAGUUUCCUUCGGGAGACGAGUACAGUGGCGUCCGGGUGAGUAACACGUGGGUAAUUUACCUUUGGGUGGGAAUAGCAGCCGGAAACGGCUAUUAAUACCGCAUAAUGCAGCGGCUCGACAUCGAGACAGUUGUUAAAGCGGGAUCUGACAAGGACCUCGCGCCUAAAGAGAAGCCUGCGUCAGAUUAGCUAGUUGGUAGGGUAAUGGCCUACCAAGGCUGUGAUCUGUAGCCGGCCUGAGAGGGCGGUCGGCCACACUGACACUGACACACGGGUCAGACUCCUACGGGAGGCAGCAGUCGGGAAUUUUGGGCAAUGGGCGCAAGCCUGACCCAGCAACGCCGCGUGAAGGAUGAAAUCCCUCGGGAU